rnacentral:rRNA from 1 species
UACAGAGGGGGCAAGCGUUUGUUCGGAAUUACUGGGCGUAAAGGGUCCGUAGGUGGCCAACUAAGUCAGACGUGAAAUCCCUCAGCUUAACUGGGGAACUGCGUCUGAGACUGGUGGCUCGAGUGCAGGAGAGGAAUGCGGAAUUCCAGGUGUAGCGGUGAAAUGCGUAGAUAUCUGGAGGAACACCGGUGGCGAAGGCGGCAUUCUGGACUGCAACUGACACUGAACGACGAAAGCCAGGGGAGCAAACGGG